rnacentral:lncRNA from 1 species
GCUUAGUAGGAGGAAUUGGGAGUGCCUGACUCAUGUUUUGCCAGCAAUCAGAAAAUCUUCCCUAUAUCAGAAACAAGGCGAUUUCAGUGUGUCGAGGUUGGUGAUUGGUGAUCCUUCUUUCAUUCAUGUAAUCCUGUGGCUGACUUCUUUAUAAACUCAUCCACAGAGCUAUUUCACUAUCAUAACCAAUGCAUUUGUCUAAGAUGAAUUCAGACAACAUUAUAUAUAGUGAAGCAUAUAUAUAUCACCAUAAAGCUUUUUGCCAAAGCUAAUGGAAUACAUUGGAAAUC